rnacentral:rRNA from 1 species
GACGAACGCUGGCGGCGUGCUUAACACAUGCAAGUCGAACGAUGAACCGGUUCUUGUCGGGGGUUCGCGGCGAACGGGCGAGUAACACGCAGGUAAUUUGCCCUCCCCUCUGGUAUAAGCAAGGGCAACUGGGUCUAAUACCGGGCACGUCACUCCGCGGCCUGCUGGGGUGUGGAUAGUUCCGGCGGUCGGGGAUGGGUGGGCGGCCUAUCAGCUUGUUGGUGGGGUAGUGGCUUACCAAGGCAGCGACGGGUAGCCGGCCUGAGAGGGUGACCGGCCACACUGGGACUGAGACACGGCCCAGACUCCUACGGGAGGCAGCAGUGGGGAAUAUUGCACAAUGGGCGGAAGCCUGAUGCAGCGACGCCGCGUGAGGGAUGACGGCCUUCGGGUUGUAAACCGCUUUCGGCAGGGAAGAAGCGAGAGUGACGGUACCGGCAGAAGAAGCACCGGCUAACUACGUG